rfam:Ictidomys tridecemlineatus contig092399, whole genome shotgun sequence.
GGGGUUGUAGCUCAGUGGUAGAGCACUUGCCUCGCAUGCGUGAGACCCUGGGUUGGAUCCCCAGCACCA